GACGAACGCUGGCGGCGUGCUUAACACAUGCAAGUCGAACGGAAAGGCCCUGCUUUUGUGGGGUGCUCGAGUGGCGAACGGGUGAGUAACACGUGAGUAACCUGCCCUUGACUUUGGGAUAACUUCAGGAAACUGGGGCUAAUACCGGAUAGGAGCUCCUGCUGCAUGGUGGGGGUUGGAAAGUUUCGGCGGUUGGGGAUGGACUCGCGGCUUAUCAGCUUGUUGGUGGGGUAGUGGCUUACCAAGGCUUUGACGGGUAGCCGGCCUGAGAGGGUGACCGGCCACAUUGGGACUGAGAUACGGCCCAGACUCCUACGGGAGGCAGCAGUGGGGAAUUUUGGACAAUGGGGGCAACCCUGAUCCAGCCAUUCCGCGUGAGUGAAGAAGGCCUUCGGGUUGUAAAGCUCUUUCGGCAGGAACGAAACGGCGAGCUCUAACAUAGCUUGCUAAUGACGGUACCUGAAGAAGAAGCACCGGCUAACUACGUG
rnacentral:rRNA from 1 species